UACAGAGGAGCCAAGCGUUGUCCGGAUUGACUGGGCGUAAAGCGCACGUAGGCGGACUCUUAAGUCGGUGGUGAAAUCCUGGAGCUCAACUCCAGAACUGCCUUCGAUACUGAGAGUCUCGAGUCCGAGAGAGGUGAGUGGAACUGCGAGUGUAGAGGUGAAAUUCGUAGAUAUUCGCAAGAACACCAGUGGCGAAGGCGGCUCACUGGCUCGGUACUGACGCUGAGGUGCGAAAGCGUGGGGAGCAAACAGG
rnacentral:rRNA from 1 species